rfam:Listeria monocytogenes EGD-e, complete genome
ACUUGCAUGCUAUAAUUGUGAUGCAAAUAAGUUUAUGGUGGUGCACCGGCCUUUUUCAUCCAGAAAGUUGGUGGUGCUUAUGUUAUUUUUUAGGCGUUACCUGGAAAGGAUAAACGUGUGACUGUUUUCGAGAGUCUUACGCUGAUGAUUGCUUUUGCAGUCUUAAUCGUAACAAUCAUGAACAGCAA